UACGUAGGGUGCGAGCGUUAAUCGGAAUUACUGGGCGUAAAGCGUGCGCAGGCGGUUCUGAAAGUCAGCUGUGAAAGCCCCGGGCUUAACCUGGGAAUUGCGGUUGAAACUACAGGGCUAGAAUCUGGCAGAGGGGGGUGGAAUUCCACGUGUAGCAGUGAAAUGCGUAGAGAUGUGGAGGAACACCGAUGGCGAAGGCAGCCCCCUGGGCCAAUACUGACGCUCAUGCACGAAAGCGUGGGGAGCAAACAGG
rnacentral:rRNA from 1 species